AUUGAACGCUGGCGGCAGGCCUAACACAUGCAAGUCGAACGAGUGGCGGACGGGUGAGUAAUGUCUGGGAAACUGCCUGAUGGAGGGGGAUAACUACUGGAAACGGUAGCUAAUACCGCAUACCAUCAGAUGUGCCCAGAUGGGAUUAGCUAGUUGGUGGGGUAACGGCUCACCAAGGCGACGAUGCCUAGCUGGUCUGAGAGGCUGACCAGCCACACUGGAACUGAGACACGGUCCAGACUCCUACGGGAGGCAGCAGUGGGGAAUAUUGGACAAUGGGCGCAAGCCUGAUGCAGCCACGCCGCGUGUAUGAAGAAGGUCUUCGGGUUGUAAAGCACUUUCAGCGGGGAGGCGGUACCUGCAGAAGAAGCACCGGCUAACUCCGUGCCAGCAGCCGCGGUAAUUC
rnacentral:rRNA from 1 species